rnacentral:miRNA from 1 species
UAUCCUUUCAUAGGUUCUUGAUUUG